UACGGGGGGGGCAAGCGUUGUUCGGAAUUACUGGGCGUAAAGGGCUCGUAGGCGGCCAACUAAGUCAUACGUGAAAUCCCUCGGCUUAACCGGGGAACUGCGUCUGAUACUGGAUGGCUUGAGUUCGGGAGAGGGAUGCGGAAUUCCAGGUGUAGCGGUGAAAUGCGUAGAUAUCUGGAGGAACACCUAUUGCGAAGGCAGCUCGCUGGGACGUAACUGACGCUGAGACGCGAAAGCGUGGGGAGCAAACAGG
rnacentral:rRNA from 1 species